rnacentral:rRNA from 1 species
GAUGAACGCUGGCGGCGUGCCUAAUACAUGCAAGUCGAACGGAAAGGCCCUGCUCUUGCGGGGUGCUCGAGUGGCGAACGGGUGAGUAAAACGUGUGUAACCUGUACCUGUCUUUGGGAUAACUCUAGGAAACUGGGGCUAAUACAGGAUAGGAGCUCCUGCUGCAUGGUGGGGGUUGGAAAGUUUCGGCGGUUGGGGAUGGACUCGCGGCUUAUCAGCUUGUUGGUGGGGUAGUGGCUUACCAAGGCUUUGACGGGUAGCCGGCCUGAGAGGGUGACCGGCCACAUUGGGACUGAGAUACGGCCCAGACUCCUACGUGAGGCAACAGUGGGGAAUAUUGCACAAUGGGCGGAAGCGUGAUGCAGCAACGCCGCGUGCGUGAUGACGGCCUACGAGUUAUAAACCACUUUCGCCGGUGACAAAGCGUGAGUGACGGUAAUGAAUAAGAAAGCACCGGCUAACUACGUG